rnacentral:pre_miRNA from 1 species
UUUCUACUCCCUUCGUCCGAAAAUACUUGUCAUCAAAAUGGAUAAAAAGAGAUGUAUCUAAAACUAAAAUACGUCUAGAUACAUUUCCUUUUAUCCAUUUUGAUGAC